rnacentral:rRNA from 1 species
AUGAACGCUGGCGGCGUGCCUAAUACCUGCAAGUCGAGCGAACAGACGAGGAGCUUGCUCCUCUGACGUUAGCGGCGGACGGGUGAGUAACACGUGGAUAACCUACCUAUAAGACUGGGAUAACUUCGGGAAACCGGAGCUAAUACCGGAUAAUAUAUUGAACCGCAUGGUUCAAUAGUGAAAGACGGUUUUGCUGUCACUUAUAGAUGGAUCCGCGCCGCAUUAGCUAGUUGGUAAGGUAACGGCUUACCAAGGCGACGAUGCGUAGCCGACCUGAGAGGGUGAUCGGCCACACUGAAACUGAGACACGGUCCAGACUCCUACGGGAGGCAGCAGUAGGGAAUCUUCCGCAAUGGGCGAAAGCCUGACGGAGCAACGCCGCGUGAGUGAUGAAGGUCUUCGGAUCGUAAAACUCUGUUAUUAGGGAAGAACAAAUGUGUAAGUAACUAUGCACGUCUUGACGGUACCUAAUCAGAAAGCCACGGCUAACUACGUG